UACUUUUAGUUUAUUGAUGAUUGCAGAUUUUCUUAUAUGUUUUCUUAUUUCAUGUUGGCUUUUAAUCUUUAAUUGUUUUGUUUUGCCAAGUUUGCUCUUUCUUAUCACCAGCUUAUAACUGUCAGUUCAAAGAAAAGCACUCUGAAGUGCACUAAUGUAUGAAGGGGCGCAGUAUCAAAAUAAAAUAAGAUUGAGUGAAAGCUAAAGGCUCUGCCUGCCAUUUUACUUUAAAUACUCUAGGAACUACAAGUUAGCCAGCAGUCUGAGAGCAAAGUGCUCUGUUGGGGUGAAACAGUGCUGUGAGUUCUUUAAGAUAAGAUCGGACCUGAAUAUUCAACACAUUGUAUCUGAGGAAAAGGAUUUUAAAUUUAAUUCUGAAUUUAACAGGGAAAGAAAUCAAGUGAAGCCAAUGUGAGAAGAAUAUAUGUAGUAGAUUUAAAUUAUAAUAAAUAUAAAUCAUAUAACAUCUGAGAAGUAAUAAAUGCAUGAGCUAGUUUUUCACCGGAUGUUUCAAUUUUUAUUGCAAAAGAGGACACAAAGAACCCAACAGGUCCUCACCCAUCUGUGGAAGAAAAAAAAAAGUAAUGUAAAAAUAUCAGGGUUAAAAAAAAUGUCAUGGUCCGUGGUCCUGUGUCUGUGGAAUGCGUGAUGCUCAGGUAGCCACACCCCCGGGCUGGGCCAUCACCAGCACACCUGCUCUCCAUCCCGGUGAUUACACGGAGAUCCACUUAACCCGGCGCUGACGGAUGCUCCACGCCAGUCCGUAGUCAUCCCCACAGUGGUUUCUACUCGGCGUCUGCUACCUGCCUGUCCUCCGGCUCAACUGGAUCUCGCGGUGCUCACCUGGCCCACUCGCCAUUCCACGGACUUCCUGCCCCCACGGACUGCCACACUUCCCCCCCGAGCUCCCACGGUUCUGUUCUAUCCCCCCCGCCGUCCCGAUCCCGGCUUCCUCGUGUCAUUGUUUCCCCGGAUUUUUAGUUUCUGUUUUGCUCUCUACUUUCCCCGGGUCGCCUUUCGUUGUUUUAAUAAAGUGUCUUUUGUUAGCUCGGAGUCUGCGCCUGCAUCCUUUCGUGCCCGCGCACCACGGCGCAUGACAAAAAAAGCAUAGUG